AUUGAACGCUGGCGGAAUGCUUUACACAUGCAAGUCGAACGGUAGAGGGGGCAACCCCUUGAGAGUGGCGAACGGGUGAGUAAUAUAUCGGAACGUGCCCGGUCGUGGGGGAUAACGUAGCGAAAGCUACGCUAAUACCGCAUACGAUCUACGGAUGAAAGCGGGGGAUCGCAAGACCUCGCGCGAUUGGAGCGGCCGAUAUCAGAUUAGGUAGUUGGUGAGGUAAAGGCUCACCAAGCCGACGAUCUGUAGCUGGUCUGAGAGGACGACCAGCCACACUGGAACUGAGACACGGUCCAGACUCCUACGGGAGGCAGCAGUGGGGAAUUUUGGACAAGUGGACGCAAGCCUGAUCCAGCAAUGCCGCGUGCAGGAUGAAGG
rnacentral:rRNA from 1 species